rnacentral:rRNA from 1 species
GACGAACGCUGGCGGCGUGCUUAACACAUGCCAGUCGAACGGUGAAGCGCUUGCCUUUUUGGUGGGUGUGGAUGAGUGGCGAACGGGUGAGUAACACGUGAGUAACCUGCCCUCUUCUUCUGGAUAACCUCAUGAAAGUGGGGCUAAUACGGGGUAUUCCGGGUCUGUCGCAUGGCGGGUUUGGGAAAGAUUGCGCCUUUGGGUGUUUUCGGUGGGGGAUGGGCUCGCGGCCUAUCAGCUUGUUGGUGGGGUGAUGGCCUACCAAGGCGGUGACGGGUAGCCGGCCUGAGAGGGUGGACGGCCACGCUGGGACUGAGACACGGCCCAGACUCCUGUGGGAGGCAGCAGUGGGGAAUAUUGCACAAUGGGCGCAAGCCUGAUGCAGCGACGCCGCGUGAGGGAUGGAGGCCUUCGGGUUGUGAACCUCUUUCGCCAGUGAAGCAGGCCUGCUCCUGUGUGGGUGGGUUGACGGUAGCUGGAUAAGAAGCGCCGGCUAACUACGUG